GGGGGGAAAAUUAAAUAUAUAAAGUUAUUAAAAGAAAUUUUUAAGUUAAAAAUAAAUAAUGGGGGUUAAAGUAUUUUUAAUAAAAAAAAUUAAAAUUUUAAUAGGAAAUUAGUAUUGAGAGAGAAUUUUGAAAUAGAAAUUAAAAAUUAAUUUAUUUUUAAGAAAUUUUUAUUUAGUGUAUCUUGUGUAUCAGAGUUUAUUAAAUAAAAAAAUUUGGUUAAAUAAAUCUCGAAUUUAAAAGAGCUAAUUAAUUAGUAAAGUUAAUAUGGAAAAAUUAUUUUAAAUAAUUAAUUAGAAAUUAGAUGUUAAUCGUUUUUAAAUAUAUCUAGUUUUUUUAGAAAUAAAUUUAAUUUAAAAUUUAAUUUAAUUAAAUUUUAUUAAGAUAAUUUUAAUAAAAUUAAAUUUAAUAAUUUAAGGGAUAAGCUUUAAAUUAAAAUAUUAUAAUAAAAAUAAAUUAAAUUAAGAUUUUUAAAAUUUAUAUUGUUUAAAAAUUAUAAUUUUUUAUAAAAAAAUCUUAUAAAAAAGAUAAAAUUUUAAAAAAUAUUUAAUUUUUUAUAAAAAAAUAGUUUUUAAUAAAUAAAGAUUAGUUAUAAUGAUAAAAUUAGUAUAUUAUAUUAUAUUUAAAUUAUAAAUGUUAAUUUUAAUUAAUUAAAAGGAAUUCGGCAAAAAUUUAUGUUCACUUGUUUAUCAAAAACAUGUCUUUUAGUAAAUAAUUUAAAGUCUAAUCUGCCCACUGAUAUAAUUAUAUUGAAGGGCUGCAGUAUAUUGACUGUACAAAGGUAGCAUAAUCAUUAGUCUUUUAAAUGAAGACUUGUAUGAAGGAUUUGAUGAAAUAUAAACUGUCUCUUAAUUAAUAAUAAAAUUUUAUUUUUUGGUAAAAAAGCUAAAAUUUAUUUAAAAGACGAGAAGACCCUAUAGAGUUUUAUAAUUAUUUUAUUUAAAAUUAAAUAUUUAAUUUAUUAUUAAAAAUAAAAUAAUUAUUAUAUUGGGGUGAUAGAAAAAUUUAUAAAACUUUUUUUAAAAGUUAAACAUUAAUAAAUGAUUAUAUGAUCCAUUAAUAAUGAUUAUAAGAAAAAAUUACCUUAGGGAUAACAGCGUAAUAUUUUUUUUUAGUUCAAAUAAAAAAAAAAGUUUGCGACCUCGAUGUUGGAUUAAGAUAAAAUUUAAAUGCAAAAGUUUAAAAUUUUGAUCUGUUCGAUCAUUAAAAUCUUACAUGAUCUGAGUUCAAACCGGUGUAAGCCAGGUUGGUUUCUAUCUUUAGAAAAAUAAAAUAUUUUAGUACGAAAGGAUCAAAUAUUUAAAAUAAUUUUAAUAAAAGAAUAUUAUUAAUAAAAAUUAAAAUUAAAAUAAUAAAUCAUUUAAUCAUAUAUAUAUAUAUAUAUAUAUAUAUAUAUAUGA
rnacentral:rRNA from 1 species